rfam:Rattus norvegicus chromosome 5, whole genome shotgun sequence.
GGAAUGUAGGUGAUAUGGCUUCAACACCUGUCACACUAUUGAUCAUUAAACUUUAUUCUGGCUGAGCUAGAGAGUGAGGAUGUGUUCCCUUCCUCCUUCAUUACUCCAUGUGAUCCCUCUUGAAGCUUCACACUGCGUCAAAGAGUACGAUCUUCUAAGAACAGAGAAGGACAGGUCUCUGGUCAAGAAUAUGAGUAGGCACAUUUCUAUGAUUGGAUCUACAAGCUAGUUCAGUUUUGUUUUGAGACAUGUUCCCUCACUGAAUUCCUGGCCGACCAAGGAUUCAAUAUAUUUUGAUAUAAUCUGAAGAGAUUU